ensembl:lncRNA
UUUUUUUUUUUUUUUUUGUAGAGACAGGGUCUCAGUAUGUUGCCUAGGUUGGUCUCUAACUCCUGGGCUCAAGUGAUCCUCCUGCCUCAGUCUCACAAAGUGCUAAGAUUACAGGCAUGAGCCAUCACACCCAGCCUGGAAGUUCCUUAUUACCAGGCAGAGAGAGAAGCAAUUCCAAGCUUAUAGGAUUCUAGGAAAAUUUCUAAUCCAAUCUCUUCAUGUCUCAGGUGAGAGGAGGGAGACCUGGAGGAAGCCACUGUGCCCCUAUUUAAAGUAAGAAAACCCCAAAGAGAUCUUCCCUGGUCAAACAGUUUCCAAACCGUUGAAUGUGAAUCUUGCUACCAGCAGCAUGAGCAUCAAUGGGAGCUUGUUAGGAAUGCACGUUCUCAGGCCUCACCCCAGACUUGCUACAUCAGCAUCUCUGGGUGGGGUCCAGGAAUCUGCAUUUUAACAAAUUAGUCAGGUGGCUGCACAGUAAAUUUUGAGAAUUUAGCCUGCUUAAUCUGAUGCAUGCUAAGAUCUGGAAAACACUGCUCUCACGAUUUGGGGGUGGGGGUUCUUUGGAGAGUUCAACAGAAAUUUAAGGUUCAUUUUCAUUAUGUUGAUGUAACUGUGUUUUUAAACCACAAUUUAAAAACAGCCCUUAAACCCUAAGUUACAUACCAAAUUUUAACAACUGGGAGGCCACCUUGGGCCACAGACUUAGGUCACAUUUUCAUGUCUGAACUCCCUGGAAGGAGGCUGCCCGUGUUAUUCUGUGAGCACAAGGCGGGGCGUGCCCCAUCCUGAGCAGCACACACUGGGCACACUGACUUCAGCUGGAACCACUCUGGCAAGCUCUCUCAGUUAGCUCUCCCCUGCUUGCGAUGCCCCCUAGAUUGGGUAUGAAAGUCAGCUGAGAACGUCGGUGCCUUCUGCAGGUUUUUGUAUUUAUUAUGAUCCUACUUAUACUUACGAUGAGGCGUGGAUAUCAUUUAAUAUGUGACACAGAAACAACACAACACUUGUCAAAUUUCUGCAUCUGUUUCACCCAACAAUUAUAAGUUGAGCUGUUAAAAAAAGAAAACUUUUUACCAUCCACAACCACCACUUACAUGAUUACAGGAGUUAUCAAGAAUUUUAAUACUUUUUUCUUUUUUUAAGACACGGUCUCACUCUGUCACCCAGUUUCAAAAAAAAAAAAUUAGCUGAGUGUGGUGGCACACACCUGUAUCCCAGCUACUCAGGAGGCUGAAGCAGGCGGAUCACUUGAGCCCAGGGGGUCGAGGCUGCAGCGAGCCAUGAUUGCACCACUGUACUCCAGCCUGGGUGACCUUGAGAUCCUGUCUCAAAAAAACAAAACAAAACCUACCACAGCCUGGGAGGCUUACAAACAACGGAAAUUCAUUUCUCAGUUCUGAAGGCUUGGGAGUCCAAGAAGAAGGCAGACUUGGUGUCUGGUGCGGGCUCUCCUGGUUUGUAGACGAUGUCUUCUCACUGUGAACAAGCCCUCCUCAACAGGGCACUAACCCCAUCACUGGGCUGCACCCUCAUGACUAAUCGCCCCCCAAGGCCCCACCUCCUAAGACCAGCGCAUGGGGUUAGGAUUUCAACACAUGCAUUUGGGGGACAUAAACACUCUGGUUGUAGCUAACAGCCUCCUGUAAAACAGAAUCAUUGCUUGUAGCAUCUCUCUCACAGGCACAACUCAGGGAAAACCAAAUCUCAGUUUGGGGGCCUGAAGAAGAUUCCCAGAAGCAGGUAUCUAUGUGUAUCAGGCAGAUGCUCAAGCAAAUGCUUUGAACAUCUCCUCCGUGCUAGGUGGGGCUGCAGAGACCUGGGGCAUGGUGGACCUUAUGGACAAUGGCCCAUUCCACCCUCUCAACCAGCACUGAUGGAAGUGGCUGCCACCCCCGCCAGGAUAAGAGGAGAGAUGCCACUGAGAUAUGAGGGACAGCUCAGUGUACCAUACAUCCCUGCAAUGCAUUUUAGAAAUGUUAUUCAUGAG